UGGGGAAUAUUGGACAAUGGGCGCAAGCCUGAUCCAGCAAUGCCGCGUGGAUGAAGAAGGUCUUCGGAUUGUAAAGUCCUUUCGGCGGGGACGAUGAUGACGGUACCCGCAGAAGAAGCCCCGGCUAACUUCGUGCCAGCAGCCGCGGUAAUACGAAGGGGGCUAGCGUUACUCGGAAUGACUGGGCGUAAAGGGGGCGUAGGCGGUUUGGACAGUUAGGCGUGAAAUUCCUGGGCUCAACCUGGGGGCUGCGCUUAAUACAUCCAGACUUGAGUGUGGAAGAGGGUCGUGGAAUUCCCAGUGUAGAGGUGGAAUUCGUAGAUAUCGGGAAGAACACCGGUGGCGAAGGCGGCGACCUGGUCCAUUACUGACGCUGAGGCGCGAAAGCGUGGGGAGCAAACA
rnacentral:rRNA from 1 species